rnacentral:rRNA from 1 species
GCAGGGUGCGUAACGCGUGGGAAUCUGNCCUUGGGAUUCGGAAUAACCAGGAGAAAUACAGGCUAAUACCGGAUGAUGACGUAAGUCCAAAGAUUUAUCGCCCAGGGAUGAGCCCGCGUAGGAUUAGCUAGUUGGUGUGGUAAAGGCGCACCAAGGCGACGAUCCUUAGCUGGUCUGAGAGGAUGAUCAGCCACACUGGGACUGAGACACGGCCCAGACUCCUACGGGAGGCAGCAGUGGGGAAUAUUGGACAAUGGGCGAAAGCCUGAUCCAGCAAUGCCGCGUGAGUGAUGAAGGCCUUAGGGUUGUAAAGCUCUUUUACCCGGGAUGAUAAUGACAGUACCGGGAGAAUAAGCUCCGGCUAACUCCGUGCCAGCAGCCGCGGUAAU